GAAAUAAUGAAAGACCUAAUUCUGUAAACUGCUAUUUAUAAUUGCUUUUCAAGCUUCUGCAAUAUAUAUUCAGCUCCUCAAAUGACAGGGAAGGAGAGGGGCAAACAAAGAUACUGGUACUUUUGAAGAACUCAAAUCCCAUCACAGCAAGUCCCAGGGUACUUUCAUAGUUAGAUUACUCCUUAAUAUAAUAAUUUUGCCAUUAUAAGAUAACGCGUACAACUUCUGUGCCCUUGUUUUUGUAUGCAUUGUUUCAGGCAUUGUGCAUUAUGAAGUAUAGACUGCUUCAAAUUGUAAACAUAUGUGAAAAAGAGUUAUAAUUAACUGUAUAGUGAUUUGUGUAAGAGUGGCUCAUGUUUCACCUAUAACAAAAAGAGAACAUGACUUUUUCUGCUUCUACGAUAACCUUUGAUAAUGACUAGAUAAUGCAUUGGCCAUUACUAAAUUAAUUAAUAACUUGUUAUUGUCAAAUCUCUACAAGUGUCAGUUGAAGAAAACCAUAAUCAAAUGAGAGUAUUUCGAAUAGGUUCUGCGGGGCCUGAUACUAGUGCUAUUUAUUAUUUUAAAUGGGGGAUAUGGAAAUAAAUAUAAAAACUAUCACUGGAGAGAUUUAUAUAUGCCAUAAAAGUCAGUGGAAUUAAAUCUAAUAAAGACAAGAUAGUUCAACAGAACUGUCUGGAUUACACGAGAAGUGAUUCACUUAACUAGCAUUUACCCUGUACAGCCAUAUGUACAAUUAUGACUUGCAUUCUUUGUUUCUAGAUUUAUACCUACUCGAUGAAUGUCUUCUUUUUUCUUUUUCUUUUUUUUUUUUUAUUUCUUUUUUUUUUUAGUGCUGUUUUCUUAGAAGAUUUUGGAAAACUGCUUGAUGCAGUGAUACAGAAAGGUGAAGGAGGAAAAGUAUUUUUCUGGUUCCAUCAGACUGACAGCUGGUCAUGAGUGGAGUUCUGUAGGGGUUUGGUGCUAUUCAAUCUAUCUUUAGAG
rnacentral:lncRNA from 1 species